UACUAAAAAUGUAACAACCUUACAAAAUAGCAUGGUGAGAAAAUGUAAUGCUGUUACAUUCUUUUGAAGCUGCAGCAACGUGAAAUCUCGUCUCGUAGCUGCAGCAACGUGAGAUCUCGUAGCAUGCGAGACUCACCCCGUUCUGCCCUGAGAAAGGACCAUACCAGAAAGAUGCCUGGAUCGACUAAAAAGUCCUGUAUCUCCUGUCACGCCAUGAUUGGCGUGGCAA